CCUACGGGAGGCAGCAGUGAGGAAUAGUGGUCAAUGGGCGCGAGCCUGAACCAGCCAAGUAGCGUGAAGGAUGACGGCCCUACGGGUUGUAAACUUCUUUUAUAAAGGAAUAAAGUGAGGCACGUGUGCCUUUUUGUAUGUACGUUAUGAAUAAGGAUCGGCUAACUCCGUGCCAGCAGCCGCGGUAAUACGGAGGAUCCGAGCGUUAUCCGGAUUUAUUGGGUUUAAAGGGAGCGUAGAGGGGUUGUUAAGUCAGUGGGGAAAGUUUGCGGCUCAACCGUAAAAUUGCCAUUGAUACUGGCAGUCUUGCGUUCAGUUGCGGUAGGCGGAAUUCGUGGUGUAGCGGU
rnacentral:rRNA from 1 species